rnacentral:rRNA from 1 species
UACGGAGGGGGCUAGCGUUGUUCGGAAUUACUGGGCGUAAAGCGCACGUAGGCGGCUUUGUAAGUUAGAGGUGAAAGCCCGGGGCUCAACUCCGGAAUUGCCUUUAAGACUGCAUCGCUAGAAUUGUGGAGAGGUAAGUGGAAUUCCGAGUGUAGAGGUGAAAUUCGUAGAUAUUCGGAAGAACACCAGUGGCGAAGGCGACUUCCUGGUCCAGCACCGACGUUCAGGCACGAAAGCGUGGGGAGCAAACAGG